rnacentral:rRNA from 1 species
UGGGGAAUAUUGCACAAUGGAGGGAACUCUGAUGCAGCGACGCCGCGUGAGUGAUGAAGGACUUCGUUUCGUAAAACUCUGUUCUAUGGGAAGAAAAGGACUGUACCAUAGGAGAAAGCUCCGGCUAAAUACGUGCCAGCAGCCGCGGUAAUACGUAUGGAGCGAGCGUUGUCCGGAAUUAUUGGGCGUAAAGGGUGCGCAGGCGGCUUUACAAGUUGGAUGUGAAAUAUUGUGGCUCAACCACAAACGUGCAUCCAAAACUGCAAAGCUUGAGUUAAGGAGAGGUAAGUGGAAUUCCUGGUGUAGCGGUGGAAUGCGUAGAUAUCAGGAGGAAUACCGGUGGCGAAGGCGACUUGCUGGACUUAAACUGACGCUCAGGCACGAAAGCGUGGGGAGCAAACAGG